AACCAGCACCUCAAGUGGUCAGGAUGAUUAUUGGGCCUAAAGCAUCCGUAGCCUGCUCUGUUAGUUUUCGGUUAAAUCCAUGUGCUCAACACAUGGGCUGCCGAAGGUACUGCAAGUCUAGGGAAUGGGAGAGGUAGACGGUACUCGAUAGGAAGGGGUAAAAUCCUUUGAUCUAUUGAUGACCACCUGUGGCGAAGGCGGUCUACCAGAACAUGUUCGACGGUGAGGGAUGAAAGCUGGGGGAGCAAACCGG
rnacentral:rRNA from 1 species